rnacentral:rRNA from 1 species
CCCAACGGGAAAAGAAUUUCACUCCCAAACCCCUGUGACAUACCUAUACGUUGCCUCGGCGGAUCAGCCCGCGCCCCGUAAAACGGGACGGCCCGCCCGAGGACCCCUAAACUCUGUUUUUAGUGGAACUUCUGAGUAAAACAAACAAAUAAAUCAAAACUUUCAACAACGGAUCUCUUGGUUCUGGCAUCGAUGAAGAACGCAGCAAAAUGCGAUAAGUAAUGUGAAUUGCAGAAUUCAGUGAAUCAUCGAAUCUUUGAACGCACAUUGCGCCCGCCAGUAUUCUGGCGGGCAUGCCUGUUCGAGCGUCAUUUCAACCCUCAAGCUCAGCUUGGUGUUGGGACUCGCGGUAACCCGCGUUCCCCAAAUCGAUUGGCGGUCACGUCGAGCUUCCAUAGCGUAGUAAUCAUACACCUCGUUACUGGUAAUCGUCGCGGCCACGCCGUAAAACCCCAACUUCUGAAUGUUGACCUCGGAUCAGGUAGGAAUACCCGCUGAACUUAAGCAUAUCAAUAAGCGGAGGAA